rnacentral:rRNA from 1 species
UGAGUACUAUCUAAUAGUUAAAACUUUCAACAACGGAUCUCUUGGCUCUGGCAUCGAUGAAGAACGCAGCGAAAUGCGAUAAGUAAUGUGAAUUGCAGAAUUCAGUGAAUCAUCGAAUCUUUGAACGCACAUUGCGCCCUCUGGUAUUCCGGGGGGCAUGCCUGUUCGAGCGUCAUUACAACCCUCAAGCUCUGCUUGGUGUUGGGCUCGCCCUGUAGGGCCUGCCUCAAAGUCAGUGGCGGCACCGUCUGACCCUAAGCGUAGUACUACUCGCCGCUUCUGGGACCGGUCGGCUGCCUGCCAGCUUAACCCCAACCAUAUCAAGGUUGACCUCGGAUCAGGUAGGGAUACCCGCUGAACUUAAGCAUAUCAAUAAGCGGAGGAAAAGAAACCAACAGGGAUUGCCUCAGUAACGGCGAGUGAAGCGGCAACAGCUCAAAUUUGAAAGCUGGCUCCUUUGGGGGCCCGCGUUGUAAUUUGUAGAGGAUGCUUCGGGUGCGGCGCCGGUCUAAGUUCUUUGGAGCAAGACGUCAUAGAGGGUGAGAAUCCCGUAUGUGACUGGUUGCCUGUGCCCGUGUGAAGCUCCUUCGACGAGUCGAGUUGUUUGGGAAUGCAGCUCUAAAUGGGUGGUAAAUUUCAUCUAAAGCUAAAUAUUGGCCAGAGACCGAUAGCGCACAAGUAGAGUGAUCGAAAGAUGAAAAGCACUUUGGAAAGAGAGUUAAACAGUACGUGAAAUUGUUGAAAGGGAAGCGCUUGCAAUCAGACUUGCGCGGCGUCGAUCAGCCUGGGUUCUCCCUGGUGCACUCGGCGCCGCUCAGGCCAGCAUCAGUUUUGACGGUGAGAUAAAGGCCUAGGGAACGUAGGUCGCCUCGGCGACUGUUAUAGCCCUAGGUGCCAUGUCGCCUGUCGGGACUGAGGACCGCGCUUCGGCCAGG